AAUACGGGAUAAUAUAUUUGAGAGGCAUCUCUUGAAUAUCAAAGGUGAGCCAGUACAGGAUGGACCCGCGUCUGAUUAGCUAGUUGGUAAGGUAACGGCUUACCAAGGCGACGAUCAGUAGCCGACCUGAGAGGGUGAUCGGCCACAUUGGAACUGAGACACGGUCCAAACUCCUACGGGAGGCAGCAGUGGGGAAUAUUGCACAAUGGGCGAAAGCCUGAUGCAGCAACGCCGCGGGAGUGAUGAAGGCCUUCGGGUCGUAAAACUCUGGCCUCAAGGAAGAUAAUGACGGUACUUGAGGAGGAAGCCCCGGCUAACUACGUGCCAGCAGCCGCGGUAAUACGUAGGGGGCUAGCGGUAUCCGGCUUUAUUGGGCGUGAAGGGUGCGUAGGAGGGCUUUCAAGUCGGUAGUGAAAGGCUACGGCUCAACCGUAGUAAGCUCUUGAAACUGGGAGACUUGAGUGCAGGAGAGGAGAGUGGAAUUCCUAGUGUAGCGGUGAAAUGCAUAGCUAAUAGGAGGAACACCAGUUGCGAAGGCGGCUCUCUGGACUGU
rnacentral:rRNA from 1 species